UUUCCGUAGGUGAACCUGCGGAAGGAUCAUUAAAAAAUGUGGUACCAAUUAUUGGUACUAAUUAAUCAUCCUACCCUUUGUGAAUUUGUUUGUAUGAAUUUUUUUAAAUGGUCUUUCCCUAAGUUGGAUUGUUAGUAAAAUACAAAAAGACUUAGGGGAAUGACUUUUUUAAAAGACUUUUUUUUAAUUAAAACUUUUUGUAUUCAUUUGUCUAAAAUUUAUUUUUAUAAUAUAAAAACAACUUUUGACAAUGGAUCUCUUGGUUCUCGCAACGAUGCAGAACGCAGCGAAAUGCGAUAAGUAGUGUGAAUUGCAAAAUACGUGAAUCAUCGAAUCUUCGAACGCAUAUUGCACUUUUUAGUUUAUAUAAAAAGUAUGUCUGUUUGAGUAUCAGUAAAUAUUCUCACAAACAUAUAUUGUUUUUGUGGUUAUGAGUGUUUUACAACGAUAAACAAGUUGUUUCACUUUUAAUUCUUUUAUUGAAUUUUUACCAAUUCAUAAAUUUCAAAUUGGAUAAAAUUUUCCUUUAACGAGGAAUAACCUAAACAAUUUUUAAAUUUUUUGGAUUGUAAAAUUCCAUCAAAGGAAUCUAUACAACAAAUAACUUGAUCUCAAAUCAGAUAAGAGUACCCGCUGAACUUAAGCAUAUCAAUAAGCGGAGGAAAAGAAACUAACAAGGAUUCCCUUAGUAACGGCGAGUGAAGCGGGAAGAGCUCAAAUUUGAAAUCUUCAAGGUUUGACCUUGACGAAUUGUAGUUUAUAGAAGUGUUUUCUGUUGGAGUUUUGGUAAAAGUUCUUUGGAAUAGGACAUCAUAGAGGGUGAGAAUCCCGUAUUUGACCAUGACUUUCCAGCUGUGUGAUACACUUUCAAGAGUCGGAUUGUUUGGGAAUGCAGUCCAAAAAUGGGUGGUAAAUUUCAUCUAAAGCUAAAUAUUGGCGAGAGACCGAUAGCGAACAAGUACCGUGAGGGAAAGAUGAAAAGAACUUUGAAAAGAGAGUUAAACAGUACGUGAAAUUGUCAAAAGUGAAGCGUUUGACACCAGUGUUGUUUUCUCGAAAAUCAAUUUAAUGGGUUUCUUGUUUUUAAGUUAUUGUGACUUUAUCAGCACAUUUCUUAUUUUACUUGACUCAUUGAAUGCACUUUUCGUUUAACAAGUCAACAUCAAUUUCUUUGGUGGUAAAAAGUUUAAAGGAAGGUGGCUUGGACUUCGGUUCAAGUGUUUAUAGCCUUUUUUCUAUGCCAUCGGAGAGAUUGAGGUCUGCAGCGUAGAUCCUUCGGGUUAGAUACCUUUGUGCUAAGUUAUAGUUUUUUAUAGACAACUUGUUGACUAUAAUUAACCCUGUAAUUUACUCGCUUAGGCUAUUUUACCUACGCUUAGGAUGUUG
rnacentral:misc_RNA from 1 species